rnacentral:lncRNA from 1 species
UACACUCCUCACAUCAUCCAAUCUUCUUGUUGAGGUAACAAUGUCAUAGUUAAGUUCUCCACAAGUUUGAGGUUUGAUGGCCCAAGUUUACACAAUGAGUUUACUACUUUUGAAGAAUAGACUAAGGUGUCUACUUGCAAAUGCAAGGAAGGUAUGACAGCCUACAAAUGAUCCACAUGGUAGGUCAGACAUUCAUUGGACCCCCACACAGAUGGAGCUUUAUAGCGCCAAAUUACCCCUGUUUCCAGCCUAAGGUGUCUACAGUGCAAAGAUGCCUAAGGUUGAUUUUAUGUCACAUCUUUUGUCUUCCUUAGAUCUUCAACUCAUGGUUUGAUUUGUAGAC